GCCACGAGCCGCGGUAAUACGUAGGUGGCAAGCGUUGCCCGGAUUUACUGGGCGUAAAGGGAGCGUAGGUGGAUAUUUAAGUGGGAUGUGAAAUACCCGGGCUUAACCUGGGUGCUGCAUUCCAAACUGGAUAUCUAGAGUGCAGGAGAGGAAAGGAGAAUUCCUAGUGUAGCGGUGAAAUGCGUAGAGAUUAGGAAGAAUACCAGUGGCGAAGGCGCCUUUCUGGACUGUAACUGACACUGAGGCUCGAAAGCGUGGGGAGCAAACAGGAUUAGAUACCCUGGUAGCCCACGCCGUAAACGAUGAAUACUAGGUGUAGGGGUUGUCAUGACCUCUGUGCCGCCGCUAACGCAUUAAGUAUUCCGCCUGGGGAGUACGGUCGCAAGAUUAAAACUCAAAGGAAUUGACGGGGGCCCGCACAAGCAGCGGAGCAUGUGGUUUAAUUCGAAGCAACGCGAAGAACCUUACCUAGACUUGACAUCUCCUGAAUUACUCUGUAAUGGAGGAAGCCACUUCGGUGGCAGGAAGACAGGUGGUGCAUGGUUGUCGUCAGCUCGUGUCGUGAGAUGUUGGGUUAAGUCCCGCAACGAGCGCAACCCUUAUUGUUAGUUGCUACCAUUUAGUUGAGCACUCUAGCGAGACUGCCCGGGUUAACCGGGAGGAAGGUGGGGAUGACGUCAAAUCAUCAUGCCCCUUAUGUCUAGGGCUACACACGUGCUACAAUGGUCGGUACAAUGAGAUGCAACCUCGCGAGAGUGAGCAAAACUAUAAAACCGAUCUCAGUUCGGAUUGUAGGCUGAAACUCGCCUACAUGAAGCUGGAGUUGCUAGUAAUCGCGAAUCAGAAUGUCGCGGUGAAUACGUUCCCGGGCCUUGUACACACCGCCCGU
rnacentral:rRNA from 1 species